rnacentral:rRNA from 1 species
AUUGAACGCUGGCGGCAUGCCUUACACAUGCGAGUCGAACGGUCACAGGUUAAGCUUACGAGUCGCGCACGGGUGAGUAAUGUAUCGGAACGUGCCCAGUCGCGUGCCUUAACUGCUCGAAAGAGCAGCUAAUACCGCAUCCGACCUGAGAGUGUAUGCGGAGGAUCGCAAUUCCUCGCGCGAUUGGAGCUGUCGUUAUCCGAUUAGUUAGUUGGUGAGGUAAUGGCUCACCAAGGCGACGAUCUGUAGCCGGACUGAGAGGACGAUCGGCCACACUGGAACUGAGACACGGUCCAGACUCCUACGGGAGGCAGCAGUAGGGAAUCUUGGACAAUGGGCGAAAGCCUGACCCAGCCAUGCCGCGUGAGGGAAGAAGGCCUUCGGGUUGUAAAACGCUUUUGUCAGGGAAGAAAAGGUGCUGGCGAAUACAUGGGAGUCUUGACGGUACCUGAAGAAUAAGCAACGGCUAACUACGUG